GGGGCCGUAGCUCAGUCGGUAGAGCGCCAGCUUUGCAAGCAGGAUGCCAGCGGUUCGAUUCCGCUCGGCUCCACCA
rnacentral:tRNA from 14 species